rnacentral:lncRNA from 1 species
CAUUCACAGAAGCUCAUUAUCAAAAUAUGUUGCUAUAUGAAAUUGCAAUAAUGUGUGUCGCUGCCCAAAUGAAAACACCUAUAGUUGUUUCCUUUCAAAUGGUUCUAGCAUCUGCUCCUGAUCAUUCUUUUUUCUUUUGAAGCUUAUUUAGCAACCAUUUCCAUGCCUCUAUUAAAUUUUUUGGCAGUUGCGCAUCACAGCCACCUCUAUGCUUCAAUCCACAAAUUUAAUGGUUUACCCACUUAUAACUUCAUUAAUAAUGAUAAACAUAUGCUCUGUAAUUCAAUCAUUACAGCUCCUUCUUCACCCCUUCAUUGCAGCCAUGGAUUUUCGUCUUCUGGAGGAAAAUUUGUUAAGAAUUAGUGAAAGAGAUACGUUGUUGGUCCUUACGACACUAUUGCCGCCGAAACAACAGGCGUUUCCCCACAUCCCUAGUUGUUCACAGGCCAUAUUUUUCCAACGUUACACACAAUUCUUUCUGGCGCUGUCAAGACUCUGAAUCGAUUUUUAAUUCCGACUCGUCUGCUUUUUCCUCCUCCAAUAGAGACUUCAUUUUUGGUACUCC